rnacentral:lncRNA from 1 species
UAUAUUGAUGACCUGGCAUUUCAUUUCAAUAUCCUCAUUUCAGCAUCCUCAAUUCCCUCAACUGACUUCCAACAAUCCCAUUGUCAGCUAUAAUUGACGAUGGUUGGCCUUAUAACUAUACUACAAAAUACUCUGCUCUACUUCAGCAAGUUCCACAAACUGGAAAAGUUAUUCUUAACUUUAUCAAGUCCCUCCAAUCCCAUCGACAAUCUCCUCUUCACAUACUAUCUGACAACACCACCCAGCACUACCAGGGAAAGGAAAGCCACUUUUAUGCGUCUUUUUUCCUUGACAUCCCACUAUUCUCCUGUUCCAAUGAAGUCACG